UAAUAAUGCAUUAUUUUACAAAGUCACUAAUUAUUUACCUGUUUCAAAUCGAAGCUCUUCCGCAUUAUUAUGACGUCAUAUUUGCGGACUUGCCACCUGUCUGUUGCCGGCGGCGUGCGAGCUAGCUUGAGGCGUUUUGGGGCAAUGGUGGAUAUGUGGUUACAUUUGAAUGUGCCAUCGCUGAUUGCACCUCUGCGGGUUUUUCCCACAGCAACUGGAUUUCCUACUGACCUUUGGGAUGGAUGCGGUCUCGGUGUCAAAACCUCCCAGCAUCAAGAGAAGUGACAGUGAUAAUUCGCCACCGUCUCAGACUGCCGCAGUUUUGCCCCCCAACCGCUGCCGAGGAGGACGUACUCAAGAAAUUCGUGACGACUAUGAAAUGCUGGCCCAUGUUGCAGCCUUUUUAAAGAGGACCGAGAAUAUCGAAGUGCAAACCAGCCUCCCUGCAGCUGCGUGCAGUUACAACAUUCAUACUCAUGUUUCUUCUCCAGGAAGCUUUCAACCUCUGAUAUGUUAACCGCAAUAAAUCAACUGCGUAGUUAAAUGUUACAUUAAGGGUGCCGUCAUGUGUACUUAUUGCUGCAUUUAAUCGCUUGACGUCUGCACUUGACCACCUUUUCAUUUCCUGCUUUGAUUAUCA